rnacentral:rRNA from 1 species
GAUGAACGCUGGCGGCGUGCCUAAUACAUGCAAGUCGAGCGAACGCACGAGAAGCUUGCCUCCCUGAUGUUAGCCGCGCACGUGUGUGUAACAUGUGGAUCCCCUCCCUAUCUUACUGGGAUCACCUCGGGAACCCGGAGCUAAUACCGGAUAAUAUUUUACUCCACAUUGUUCUCUAGUGAAAUACGUCCUUGCUGUCUCUUCUCGAUGGAUCCGCGCUGCUUUAGCUAGUUGGUAGGGUAACGGCCUACCAAGGCAACUAUGCAUAGCCGACCUGAGAGGGGGAUAGGCCACACGAGAAGUGAGACACGGUCCAGACGCCUACGGGAGGCAGCAGUAGGGAAUCUGACGCAAUGGGCGAAAGCCUGACGGAGCAACGCCGCGUGUGUGGUGAAGGUCUUCGGAUCGUAAAACUCUGUUAUUAGGGAAGAACAUAUGUGUAAGGAACUGUGCACAUCUUGACGGUACCUAAACAGAAAGCCACGGCUAACUACGUG